GGACGAUAAUGACGGUACUUUAGGAGGAAGCUCCGGCUAACUACGUGCCAGCAGCCGCGGUAAUACGUAGGGAGCGAGCGUUGUCCGGAAUUACUGGGUGUAAAGGGAGCGUAGGCGGGACUGCAAGUCAGAUGUGAAAUGCCGGGGCUUAACCCCGGAGCUGCAUUUGAAACUGUGGUUCUUGAGUGAAGUAGAGGCAAGCGGAAUUCCUGGUGUAGCGGUGAAAUGCGUAGAUAUCAGGAGGAACACCGGUGGCGAAGGCGGCUUGCUGGGCUUUUACUGACGCUGAGGCUCGAAAGCGUGGGUAGCAAACAGGAUUAGAUACCCUGGUAGUCCACGCUGUAAACGAUGAUUACUAGGUGUGGGGGGACUGACCCCUUCCGUGCCGCAGUUAACACAAUAAGUAAUCCACCUGGGGAGUACGGCCGCAAGGUUGAAACUCAAAGGAAUUGACGGGGGCCCGCACAAGCAGUGGAGUAUGUGGUUUAAUUCGAAGCAACGCGAAGAACCUUACCAGGUCUUGACAUCGUAUGCAUAGUCUAGAGAUAGGUGAAACCUCUUCGGAGGCAUAUAGACAGGUGGUGCAUGGUUGUCGUCAGCUCGUGUCGUGAGAUGUUGGGUUAAGUCCCGCAACGAGCGCAACCCUUACCUUUAGUUGCUACGCAAGAGCACUCUAAAGGGACUGCCGUUGACAAAACGGAGGAAGGUGGGGAUGACGUCAAAUCAUCAUGCCCCUUAUGACCUGGGCUACACACGUACUACAAUGGCAAUCAACAAAGAGAAGCGAGACAGUGAUGUGGAGCGAAUCUCAAAAAAUUGUCCCAGUUCGCAUUGC
rnacentral:rRNA from 1 species